rnacentral:pre_miRNA from 1 species
AAUAGAUGAUAUCAUUGACUUUUUCUCACGUGUUUGACCAUUCGUCUUAUUUAAAAAAUUUACGUAAUUAUAAUUUAUUUUAUUAUGAGUUUUUUUAUCACUCAUAGUACUUUAAGUGUGAUUUAUAUCUUAUACAUUUGCAUAGAAUUUUUUGAAUAAGACGAAUGGUCAAACAUGUGAGAAAAAGUCAACGGCGUCAUCUAUU